CAGCAAGUUUGCUGUUUUCUUGAAGCAUCAGCAUUGCCACAUGCAUGUGGAGCAAGUCGAGAUACCCCUGGCAGAAAUUUUCAUUUCCAUGUUAGAAUACUUAGUGUACCAUACUGUUUCAGACAUCCAUAUAUUUUCUUAUAUCUUUUCCUGACUGCCUCACAGUCCCUUAUUUAUUUAUAGUGACAUCUUAUACAAAGCUGGAAAAGCCUGGUAAGGCCAUUUCACCACUGAAGAGAUGAAGCACAAAAACUGUAAAGACCAGCUCUAGGGGCAUCCAAAGGCUACACAACAUCACACAAACCAGCAGCCACAUGGACUGGCACCAUGACUGCUGUAGUGCCCAUUACCUUCCCCUUUGGGUGAGUUCCCGCUGUUUGCAGCUGACUUCUUGCAGCCUUAACUGUUACAUGAGAACGGUACAAGGACUUCUGUCUCUCAUUCACCUCUGUAAUAUAUAUUUUUUUUAAACAGACAAAUCUCAAUACUCCUUAACUGACACCAGAAUAAGCGUUUGAAGGUGAACAAAGGGCUACAACUUCAAAGUGGCUCUUUGUGCUUGUGGAAUGAAUGUCUCUUCACUCUACCCUUUGUGGUCCCCAGCGAUAAGAGCCACUUUUGGACAAAGGACACAAACCAAGAUAUAUUGGAUGGAUAGCUCAGAAAUUCAGUGGGCAAAUGUCUGUUUUUAGAAACCAGGAAUAUAACUUCUAUUCAAGCACAGAUGCAGAAGAAAUUGGUCUUUUAUUCACUGGCUCAAAGAUUACAGAAUUAGAGGAUGUGAAAAAAUGUGAAAGGAUAUAAGACAAGGCAUUUAGGGGGACUGCUGCAACACAUCAACUGGUGAUGGAAGGAAGUGAGACAUGAAAUCUGCAGGACACUUAAAAAUCUUGACAAAUGAAGAGCUACUGGUCUUGGUGGUCUGUGCUUCUCAACUACUUGCCAAGAUGGAGACUGAGGAACUGCUGGCUGAGCUGUCAGAAUGUAAGACCACCUCUCUGGACCCUUUCUUCUGCAUCCUACCGGUUUAACCAUUGGCACAGGACGAAAACCUCAAUAAUGAAAUAAUAUCAGGCUUGAUUUCACAAUCCAGCAUUGCAUAACAUCUACGGAUUUCAGUGCUUCAACCACUAAAUCUUCA
rnacentral:lncRNA from 1 species